rnacentral:rRNA from 1 species
UACGGAGGAUGCGAGCGUUGUCCGGAUUUAUUGGGCGUAAAGCGAGCGCAGGUGGUUUAUUAAGUCUGGUGUAAAAGGCAGUGGCUCAACCAUUGUAUGCAUUGGAAACUGGUAGACUUGAGUGCAGGAGAGGAGAGUGGAAUUCCAUGUGUAGCGGUGAAAUGCGUAGAUAUAUGGAGGAACACCGGUGGCGAAAGCGGCUCUCUGGCCUGUAACUGACACUGAGGCUCGAAAGCGUGGGGAGCAAACAGG